rnacentral:rRNA from 1 species
GUGAACGCUGGCGGUAGGCCUAACACAUGCAAGUCGAACGGCAGCACAGAGGAGCUUGCUCCUUGGGUGGCGAGUGGCGGACGGGUGAGGAAUACAUCGGAAUCUACCCUGUCGUGGGGGAUAACGUAGGGAAACUUACGCUAAUACCGCAUACGACCUUCGGGUGAAAGAGGGGGCUCGCAAGACCUCUCGCGAUUGGAUGAGACGAUGUCGGAUUAGCUAGUUGGCGGGGUAAAAGCCCACCAAGGCGACGAUCCGUAGCUGGUCUGAGAGGAUGAUCAGCCACACUGGAACUGAGACACGGUCCAGACUCCUACGGGAGGCAGCAGUGGGGAAUAUUGGACAAUGGGCGCAAGCCUGAUCCAGCCAUACCGCGUGGGUGAAGAAGGCCUUCGGGUUGUAAAGCCCUUUUGCUGGGAAAGAAAAGCGACCGGCUAAUACCCGGUUGUUCUGACGGUACCCAAAGAAUAAGCACCGGCUAACUUCGUGCCAGCCGCCGCGGUAAUAC